AAUCGCGCAUCAGCCAUGGCGCGGUGAAUACGUUCCCGGGCCUUGUACACACCGCCCGUCAAGCCAUGGGAGCCGGGGGUGCUUGAAGUGCGUCGCCGCAAGGCGCGCCCUAGAGCAAAACCGGUGACUGGGGCUAAGUCGUAACAAGGUAGC
rnacentral:rRNA from 1 species